rnacentral:rRNA from 1 species
GACGAACGCUGGCGGCGUGCCUAAUACAUGCAAGUCGAACGCAGUGGGGACGGGUGAGUAACACGUGGGUAACCUCCCAUCAGAGGGGAUAACACUUGGAAACAGGUGCUAAACCGAUACUGAUGGAUGGACUCGCGGUGGAUUAGCCAGUUGGUGAGGUAACGGCUCACCAAGGCCACGAUGCCUAGCCGGCCUGAGAGGGUGAUCGGCCACACUGGAACUGAGACACGGUCCAGACUCCUACGGGAGGCAGCAGUGGGGAAUAUUGCACAAUGGGCGCAAGCCUGAUGCAGCCAUGCCGCGUGUAUGAAGAAGGCCUUCGGGUUGUAAAGCACUUUCAGCGAGGAGGCGUUACUCGCAGAAGAAGCACCGGCUAACUCCGUGCCAGCAGCCGCGGUAAUUC